rnacentral:rRNA from 1 species
UAAUAAAAAAAAAAAGUUACCCCCGCAGACGAACGCUGGCGGCGUGCCUAAUACAUGCAAGUCGUACGCUUCUUUUUCCACCGGAGCUUGCUCCACCGGAAAAAGAGGAGUGGCGAACGGGUGAGUAACACGUGGGUAACCUGCCCAUCAGAAGGGGAUAACACUUGGAAACAGGUGCUAAUACCGUAUAACAAUCGAAACCGCAUGGUUUUGAUUUGAAAGGCGCUUUCGGGUGUCGCUGAUGGAUGGACCCGCGGUGCAUUAGCUAGUUGGUGAGGUAACGGCUCACCAAGGCCACGAUGCAUAGCCGACCUGAGAGGGUGAUCGGCCACAUUGGGACUGAGACACGGCCCAAACUCCUACGGGAGGCAGCAGUAGGGAAUCUUCGGCAAUGGACGAAAGUCUGACCGAGCAACGCCGCGUGAGUGAAGAAGGUUUUCGGAUCGUAAAACUCUGUUGUUAGAGAAGAAUAAGGAUGAGAGUAACUGUUCAUCCCUUGACGGUAUCUAACCAGAAAGCCACGGCUAACUACGUGCCAGCAGCCGCGGUAAUACGUAGGUGGCAAGCGUUGUCCGGAUUUAUUGGGCGUAAAGCGAGCGCAGGCGGUUUCUUAAGUCUGAUGUGAAAGCCCCCGGCUCAACCGGGGAGGGUCAUUGGAAACUGGGAGACUUGAGUGCAGAAGAGGAGAGUGGAAUUCCAUGUGUAGCGGUGAAAUGCGUAGAUAUAUGGAGGAACACCAGUGGCGAAGGCGGCUCUCUGGUCUGUAACUGACGCUGAGGCUCGAAAGCGUGGGGAGCAAACAGGAUUAGAUACCCUGGUAGUCCACGCCGUAAACGAUGAGUGCUAAGUGUUGGAGGGUUUCCGCCCUUCAGUGCUGCAGCUAACGCAUUAAGCACUCCGCCUGGAG